UGCUGUUCAAACCCAAUAAGAACUAUGUGGCAGAGCUGGAGAAAAAGGACUAUCUUGGAAAAGCCAAGGUACCCACCAUCCCCAUUAUCACAUCAAUACAGUGUGCAAUGUUACUGAAGAGAUCCCUUUUCUGUUUGGCCAGUAAAUUGUUUUUUAUUUAUAGGUUGUAUCUUCUAUUGUACCCGCAGAUGACUUUUCUGGGUUUGCUCCACUUCAGCCUCAAGUUGACAAUGUUCCAUCUACACCAAAAGUCCCAGAAGUACUAAGGGUAUUUGAAGGUGAGCCACACACUGUUCUCUAUGAGUUUUACCCUGAGACCAAAGAGGAGCUGGCUGUGUUGCCUGGCAACAUUGUCUUCGUUCUUCAGAAAGGAGCUGACAACUGGGCAUCUGUUGUUUUCAAU